rnacentral:rRNA from 1 species
GACAGAGGGGGCAAGCGUUGCUCGGAAUCACUGGGCGUAAAGGGCGCGUAGGCGGGAUGGCAAGUCGGUCGUGAAAUCCUUCGGCCCAACCGAAGAACGUCGGCCGAUACUGCCGUUCUUGAGGGAUGCAGAGGAGACUGGAAUUCCCGGUGUAGCGGUGAAAUGUGUAGAGAUCGGGAGGAACACCGGUGGCGAAGGCGGGUCUCUGGGCAUUUCCUGACGCUGAGGAGCGAAAGCGUGGGGAGCGAACAGG